AGUGCAGUGAAUAGAAGACACUUCUCUGCACCCCAAAAGCUCC
rnacentral:lncRNA from 1 species